rnacentral:lncRNA from 1 species
ACGAGCGCAACGACAGGUGUGUUGGGCGUGGAUUCAAGGUGAGGUGGCAGUUGUGAGGCAAGCCAUGGUGGCAGUGACGAGCACCGGUGGAGCCAGAGUCCCACGGUGGCGUACUUUCCUUAAGCUAUUGCACGAAAACAAUAUUCAACCCAAUUUGAAGACUGCGAGGCCCCGUAUUGAUCCGAGUCCGAGUCUAGAUGAUGGAUUUGUCUCUUAUGCUGUUGUUGACUGGGUUUCCUCUUGUGCGACAGUCGGAACGAAGACAUGAUCGUGGUAGAUUCUUUUGUGAUCAGAAGUUCGUAGCUCCAUGGCGGAUCGUGCAACAUAUACUCGGUGGGACGAUUUGUUUUUGUUGGCUAGCUUGUAGUAGUGCUUCUCAACUUUCCAUCAGCGGACGGCCCACGCCUCGCCAUUGCGUAUCCAUCUAGCGACUUGUACUUUUUGUCAGAUUAACGACGUCAUUG